UUCUAGGUGUUUGUGUUUCUCUCUGUUGAUUCCACCUUUCUUUUGUCCGAUAGAAAACUUCCAGAUAUCUACCACCGACUUCAUCUCCAUCCUCCACCACUCUCCCACCUUUAUGGAACUUGUCCUGUUGGGAUCCAUUUUGGAUUUAGAGUCACCGCUUCAUCUUUCCAUAGGUGUCCACCCACCGCAUUAUCUGCUUCUGAUGUCCACCCAGCUCAUUCAAUUUACCGACCCUCCUUCUCCACAUCCACGCCUUCCUUCUUACUGCUAUUAUGCCCACCCAGUCGGAACUGUAGCAUAUUCAUCUCAUUCUCAAGCUCCAGAAUCGGUCACCACCGUGGAACCGUCGAAGCUCCAAACGCCCUUCCGCCGGUCUUCACGACCUUCGUUUUGCUAAAAAUCUCCUCACACUCAUUUUCUAACCAGAUUACACCACCAAAUACCAUAGUUUUGAUAUGUGAAUACGUUUUUGGUGGUGGGGAAGGUGAACCAAAUGGAGGUGAAGGAAGCCUCAUACUUAUUAACAGUAUGUUUUCCACAAGUUUAUUAUGUUGUUCAAACCUGCACUUAACCUAUUCGAUGAAAUGCCUCAGUGAGGGAAACAAGAUCCUUUCAAAAUUUUGACA